UGGGGAAUAUUGCACAAUGGGCGCAAGCCUGAUGCAGCCAUGCCGCGUGUAUGAAGAAGGCCUUCGGGUUGUAAAGUACUUUCAGCGGGGAGGAAGGUGUUGAGGUUAAUAACCUCAGCAAUUGACGUUACCCGCAGAAGAAGCACCGGCUAACUCCGUGCCAGCAGCCGCGGUAAUACGGAGGGUGCAAGCGUUAAUCGGAAUUACUGGGCGUAAAGCGCACGCAGGCGGUCUGUCAAGUCGGAUGUGAAAUCCCCGGGCUCAACCUGGGAACUGCAUUCGGAACUGGCAGGCUAGAGUCUUGUAGAGGGGGGUAGAAUUCCAGGUGUAGCGGUGAAAUGCGUAGAGAUCUGGAGGAAUACCGGUGGCGAAGGCGGCCCCCUGGACAAAGACUGACGCUCAGGUGCGAAAGCGUGGGGAGCAAACA
rnacentral:rRNA from 1 species